rnacentral:tRNA from 1 species
UCAAAGAAGCAGCCUAGACGCCGCCGGGGCUUC